AGGAAACCGCCUCAUCAAAUCCAUGCAGCAUUAAAAAACACGAAAACGGCAUUAAAAGUGCAAUAAAAAAUUCCUCCAAUAAAUUUAUUAAUGCGGUUCAUCAAAAAGAAGUAUUAAAAAAGAUUUUUUGAUGCUAUUUGUUAUAAACGUACUAUUAAAUUAUGAUUUUUUGGUGCGUUUUUUUCUAACCGCUUCAUUAAAUUACGAUUUUUUGGUGCCAUAUUCCAAAACCGCUUAACAUACAUAUACACACUACACUUAUAUAAAUACACAAUACACAUAUAUGUUUACUUGUUAAAUAAUUCUUAUUUUUGCAGCAUGCAUUGGUUGCUUUUUGUCCUAUGUCCUGAAAGCAAAUGUGGUUAUAUUUUUGAUUCUUUAUGUGAAAAGAAGCAAGAAAAGAAAAAGGACGUUUACCACUUUCCUUCUUUCAUUGAUAAUGUUUUCCCGGGACGAGUUAAUAAGUGGGAAACAGUAAAGAUAUGUUUUAUAUUAAUUUUUAUCAAUGUAUUUCAAAUGGUUUGAAAUAGUUAUUGUGAAUUAAAUACAGUGCUACAAACAAAAAGAUGGAUGAGAAUGUGGAUUUAUAGUAAUAAAACAUAUGAAAGAGUUUGUUGAGACUAUUCAACAUGAUUUUGAAAAUAAAUUAUGGAAAAAUAAGAGUUUUGUUACGCCCGUUAAACUUGAAGAUAUGGUCUCAGAAAUAAUACCUCGUUUAAUUAAGAUGGUGAAUGAUAGUCGGAAAAGAACUUUCUAAGAAUUAUAAUGUUUUGUGUUUUGUUAUAACUAAAAUGUAAAUUAGAAAUUAUUGGUUUUUUGUAUAAUGAAGUUUUAAUAAGACGGUUUCUUAUUUUUUUUGGCUCUA